CAUGUCCUACGGGAGGCAGCAGUGGGGAAUAUUGCACAAUGGGGGAAACCCUGAUGCAGCAACGCCGCGUGAAGGAAGACGGUUUUCGGAUUGUAAACUUCUGUUCUUAGUGAAGAAAAAUGACGGUAGCUAAGGAGCAAGCCACGGCUAACUACGUGCCAGCAGCCGCGGUAAUACGUAGGUGGCAAGCGUUGUCCGGAAUUACUGGGUGUAAAGGGAGCGUAGACGGCGCUGCAAGUCCGGAGUGAAAGCCCAUGGCUUAACCAUGGUACUGCUCUGGAAACUGUGGAGCUUGAGUGCGGGAG
rnacentral:rRNA from 1 species